GCCUAUACUAAAAUAACUAUCAAGAAUUGUUUUUAAAUAUAUAAAUUUCGCGACCGUUAUUCUACAGGAAAAAUAGGAUUUUCCUAAACUUUCAUAUAUUGUAUAAAUGAUAUGCUCUUUCAUUUAGAGACUUACACGUAAGUGGUGCAAGCAGCAAGCCUAUAAACAAGCGACAAUCCGUCUCAAAAUGGACGAUGUCACAGAAUAAGGAUCUGACUCGCUCCGGCGGCUCGUGCAAUUUUGGCACAUUUUUCAAAUAUCACUCGUAGUGUUAAUCAUUAGUGUACUUAAGCAAACGACGUUUUUCUCAGCACGAACGUCACCUGAAAAUUGGUAUGACUAAUUUUGACGAUAUUUUGCAUCAUGGCGCUCGUGUAAGCAAGCAAAAAACUUAAACUAAAAUCUUAUGUUUUGUUACAUGUGAUGAAGAUUACUACAAACUGAUACAAACACAGUUUUUAGUCCAGUCCCCCCUCGGCAAUCUGACGUCCAUGUUGACAACAACGUCGUUUGCUUAAGCUCACUAUUAAUUGCACUCCUUCCCGUGUGAUUACCUCUACAAAUUAUACAUUGUCAUUGAGAGACAUCGCUCUGGAGACACCGGAGGCACAUUAGCUUUACCUCAACAACGCAUUGAAAAAUAGUUUUAGCUCCAGUGGUGCGGUACUGUGGAACACCCUUCCAGCCGAGAUACGACAAGCUAACACUUUACGUAAAUUCAAGUCUGGCAAGAUAAAGAUAAAUUGGAAUGUGAAAAAGAAUGGGUUGUUUUUCAGGAAGAAAGUGAGAGCGACAUUUCGGAGAAAGAAAUGGAGAGAGAAGAAGAAAGAAUUUCCAAGAAGAAAGUGAAAGCGUCAGGGCCAUACUUCAUCUGUCUUAGAUUAGAUACGGUUUUAGAAAACCUAGGACUUGAGAAAGCAGC